rnacentral:tRNA from 1 species
GGCGUAGUGGUCAAUGCGUUCGCCUUGCACGCGGGAGACCCGGGCUCGAUUCCCGG